rnacentral:tRNA from 1 species
GCGGAUGUAGUUGAGUGGUAAAACAGUGGCUUCCCAAGCCACGGUUGCGGGUCCGAUUCCCGUCAUCCGCUCCA